AAGUAACAGUUGCUUUUUUGCAAUUACAUAAACAAAAAACAAAACAAUUAGACUAAUGGGAUAGCUGUCGUGCAACGUUGCUCUCGACAGUAUUAAAAAGUAUUCUGAAGACGAAAGACACGAGACUUGAGUCGAGAUUCGAGAAUUUUUACAGUCCUCUCGUGAAAACGAAUUUUUAGCUGAAACUAAGCUACUUCAUUUCGGCUCUCUGCCACUCGGUCAAUCUAGGACGACGUUUGCAUAAUUGUUCAGGUAGUAAAGAUAGUGCCAAAAACAGAAAGAAAGUGAUGGCCAAAUAUCCUGGUUGCAACUGACUUACUGCCAUCUGACAUGGACGUCGAUGCAUGGCGACGAUUUAUCUUAAAAUCUUUGUGUGGAUCUUUUGUAUCUUACAACGACAGGCGUCCUUAUAGCAUCAUGACGUGCUGGCAUAUCCGAUUGGGAUUACACAUCCUGACUGUGCAAAUGGCUAUACGAAAAAAAUAAGGUAAUUCCCAUUUUUUCUUUUAUGUACGGCUCCCCCAAGUGUAAGCUGUCAGGCCAAACGGGAGAUGUUACAAAAGACAGACACUGAGGAAAUGGAGGAACGAGAAAUUCCGCCGAUUCGUAACGUUUGGCUCAAUACAUCCAUGUACCCGAGUGUCGAGAAACAAUGUGUGCUGUUAGUUCUCGUUCACUUGGCUGACUUCUUUCCAAAUAAAUCAUCGGUACUCGCCCCGAAAUUGCUGAUGACCUCUUUGCAUCCUCCACUGCUCAAGUUUUCUACUCGACCGAAUAUGCUACCAUACAGUAUUUUUUGUUUGUUUUGUUAUGUGUGCGUAUUCAAUCUCCAUCAACUAUUGUCUGGUUUGUUUUUGUUUUGCUACACACAGGGCUUAUUCCUUGAUGCAUCUCAGAUAACAACCGUUCCGUCACGAUCUACUAACCUCCGGAUAAGUCAUCACAUGAUUUUUUGUUAGAGUCUAAAUAAUGCUGUACUUGUCACUUUUGUAUUCUAGGAUUUUUCUUUUCACGUGUUUGCUUAUUUGCAGAUGUCCACCAUGAAAGGAAAAGAAAGUGAACAAAGAAGAAACAAGGAAAAAAGAUUAGGAUGCUCCGCUUGUAGCGUUCGUCCGUCCUCGCUGUCCCGCUUGCAGCGACAACGACAAAACUGGAAUCGAAU
rnacentral:lncRNA from 1 species